UAAAAAUUGACAGUUACGUUACGUAUUUGAGAAAAAAAUGGAGGAUGGAAGCAAAUAACUGCAAAAUGUUCCUUCACGGCCAACAGAAAUCGAAACAGAAACUAACGCUUUGCAAAACGCUUUACGCAAUAUCAUCAAAUCAAUCGAGACCGACAAGUACUUCAACGCAGCAAGAACUGAGAGAUGACAGUCUGUGGUCCCUAGCAACCGGAAAAAUAUGGCGUUCGAAAUUUUGUUCGUAAACAGAGGCGUUCGAAACUCGAGGUUUGACUGAAUAAAAGAUUUUUGACGAAGAUAUACUUUUCUGGUGCGAAACGUCGAAGAAUUUCCAGAAUUAUUAGUUUUACUUUUAAAAUACUUAAUUUUAUGAAAAAAAAGUAAUGUUUUGACCUCAUUCUGGUGUCUUGUUUCACGCAGAGCUUUUUGUUAUUUUCAGAUCCACCACCAUCCACCAACUAAGACCAUUUCCAAUAAGAGCUGAAGAAGGUGUUAAACUUUUGUUUAUAAGAGAUAAAGUGAAGCCAGUGAUAAGAAAUCAUACACGAUGAAUUCCAUUAAAGGAGAAAGCAUAUUCCAUGAAAAUGAAGAAAAACAGAAAAUUUAAUGAAGAUAUUUUAAGAUUAUUAUCUACAUCUUUUGUUGCAAAAUGCAUAGUAAUUGUGUCCAGAAAAAAACUGUAUAAAUUACAUUAAUUUUUGAUAGUAUUUAUGCCUGUUGUUAAUAUUUGUGAACACUGGUGUAAGCAGUUAGUGUAUGGUGUGAUGAAAUCGGAGUUGGUUGUAACCUGUAAAUUUUAAUUUAAGGAAACUCGUGGGAAAAGUGAAAAUUAGUUUUCUAUCUGCAAGCAAAACGUUAAAAUAGAGCGCUUAAAUUUACAUAUUUGAUUUGAAAAUAAAUUGAAGAAAGUUUCGAUCUUUAGACGAUGCUUUUAAUAUUUUUAUUUCUCGUAUUUUACAGGUUUAAACAUUCGGAAGUCAAAAAAUGGGAAGUAUCAAUGUGACAGUUGCGAGAAAGAAUUCGCUUCGAAGUAUAAUUUAAAAUAUCAUCAAAGGAUUCACACUGGAGAAGGGCUAUUGUCUUGCAAAUUUUGUACUCG
rnacentral:lncRNA from 1 species